AUUGACUGUGUGUUGAGAAGGAAUUCUCUCCAGCCGUGGCGUGAUAUUGUUCCAACCAACUCUACGGUGGAGAAGAACGGAGGAAGGCCACACUGUCUUUCCAGGACGUGAGAUAGCCGAUUAUGCAAGCGGUGGAUUGACUGUGUGUUGAGAAGGAAUUCUCUCCAGCCGUGGCGUGAUAUUAUUCCA